CCGGUGGCGGUGGCGGUGCGGGGGGGGAGGUUGCCUUGGCCACGCAUCCCUCAGUGAAUGCAUGACGUGCGCAGCGCUGGCGCCAGGCUGUCUGGGGCCGGCAGUUAGAUCAACACAGCUGGAGGGCCCGGGCCACAGCUGGGCAAAGGCAGCGCCUCCGCCGCCCAGGCAGGGCCUGUGGGAACCGCCGCCAACAAAACCCCCCUGCAAACAAAAGCUUCCCCUCCCAGUCCCUCUGAAGCCUUUCAGCGCCCCCCCCGCCCCCCGCCAUCCCUUGGGAAAUGAGAGGGGGUGUAUGGGAAGAAGCAGAGGCUGUACACUGCUGUUUUGUAUUGAGGGGAAGUCAUAAGAAGGAUUCAGGUGGUGGUCUGAAAAGAGUUUCUAAAUGCUUUGUAAACAUUUUAAAAAUCGGUGUUAAUUGCAUUAAGUUUUACAUUUAUCAUCUAUUUUUAAAAUAUGUUUAAUUCUUUUUAAUUAUUUUAUAACUUUAUUUUGGUUUGUUUUUUUUUUUUUUGUUUGGGGGUGUUGGUUGUUCGCUCUUGCCCCAAAACAGGGUGGUAAUUAUGUGUCUUCUCAAGCUGCUAUCCUUAUCCUUUACACAGAGGGCUGCCGCUACUGCAGGACUCCUCCAUGUGCCACCUGCUGCGGUGACACUCACCUGGGACUCCAGAUCAUUCCAGCUUUGGGCUUUUUCUAUGGACAGUCUCUGAUUCUGUAAGUUUUAAGGCAGCGAUGGUUCAGAAGGGUAGUUUCCUUCAUAUCUUGCUCCCCCACCCCAAGCCAAUCACUUCUGCUGGGAUAACCCCUUUGCCUAUAAAUCUCCUCUCCCACCUCCAAAAUAAAAAACCUUCCAGGCCUCUCACAGGCGCUGACCUAAA